GUUUUUAAGGUUCCCAAAGCCAAUAAGCUGCUCUAGCAUCAAAUCAUUGUUGAUAUAAAACUGACUCACUUAAAGUGUGUUCAUUUUCUACGGUGCCCCAAACAUCAAGUGCACUAAAUUGGCUUUGGAAUCCCCAUCAAUAGUGAUUUGGCAGUAUGGCCAAACAGCACAUCAGUUAUGAAACAAAUCUCAGCUGCCCUGGGGGCUUCAUUUUAGCAACAUGUGUUGCUUGGUGGAGAUGGUGGACUGCUUUUCGUUCAUUGCUCAUUUGCUAGAGAAUUGCGCGACUUCUCAUCCAUGUUUGCAGUGGGUUACAUAGAUGGUGAUUGGAGAGGCCUUUGGGCAUUACUCCUCUAUUACUUGUGUUUUCUUGUGAGAUUCCUAUGUAAGGAACAGAAGAGAUGAAUUUGGAAGGUUUUCGAGGCUGAAUUCUGUGGAGGUUUCUCGAUUGUCACUGAUCGUUCUACUGGCGAUAAUCAAAUGGAAGUUCCUUGCUAAUCUGUUCUGUUUUCUGGGCCCCAUUGUGUUGGUCCCAUAUAGACGAUGGAGGAGAAGUGAUGGGUUCAUUGGGUAGUAAAGAGUCCCAAAUGGUCGGGGCAUGUGCUUUCUUGAAUGGCAUGGGGAAUGUUAUUUGCUCAUCAGUGGGUCCAUUUGUUGGAACCCCACUUUAUGCCAUCUGUAGGGUGAACGGAGAUGGCCCUAUUCUAUGAAAUCUUGAUGAGCAUUUGGAAGAUAUUCGAUAUCUCAUUGAGUUGAUCGGUGCUUGAUUUCAUUGUUUUCUUCGAGAGGAUAACAUGGCAAUGGAUUCUCGCUAAGGAUGGUCACAACCAUUGACUUCCUAGUCAAUCAUCAUAUGAUUUUGCUGGGGCUGCUUUUCAAGUUCUGCGACUGAUGGCUGAUUUAGCACCAAUAGCGGGGGAGGCAGCUCCAAAUUUGUCAAAGGUGGGGCCCACAGGGAGUCCAAUCACGUGAUUCUCGACUGUAUUGGUCAUUCAUGGAGCGGUCCCUGGUCUGUGGGCCAUUUCAGAGACAGCUUCUCAUUCUUAUGUCCGAACCUGCAGCUACUAAUUGUUCGAAUCAAAGAUCAGAUUGUGGUGAUAGAAAGGGCCCUACACUAGCUCAAGGUGUGAACGUUCUUGGGUGGGCUGCCAUCUACAAAGCACUGUGCAUUUUGCGUCCGAUAAUACAUCACAUCGAAUGAUGCAAUCAGCUCAACUCAAGAUCACAUGGUUAGUACACAGUUUUCAAAUUAUCUCCGAUAUUAUCGAAAUAUCUCCGAUAUUAUCUUUAUCUCUGGCUCAGCGAUACCGAUAACACUGGCAGUGUCAGAAAUUCCAGGUAUUAGCAAUGUAUCGCUAAGUAUCACCAACGUAUCAAUAUCGCUAAUGUAAUUGCUAAUAUUUUCAACUAUGUAAAUUCUACAUGUCGUUUGUAUUGCCAAUGCAUCAAUAUCGCCAAUGUAUUGCCAAUAUUUUCAACUAUGUAAAUUCUAGGUAAUGUUUGUAUCAUAAGUGUAUCAACUAUAUUUCAAUAAUAUCGGCAAUGUAUUGAUAUCAUCAAAAAUUUCUUUA